AAGGCGCUUGAGAGAACUCGGGUAAAGGAACUAGGCAAAAUGGUGCCGUAACUUCGGGAGAAGGCACGCCGGUGGUAUGUGACGCCCUUCGCGGGUUGAGCAGAAGCCGGUCGAAGAUACCAGGCCCCUGCGACUGUUUAUUAAAAACACAGCACUGUGCAAACACGAAAGUGGACGUAUACGGUGUGACGCCUGCCCGGUGCCGG
rnacentral:rRNA from 15 species